UGAAUCAUCUUCAUCUGAGACAUCCAUAUCAUCAUCAACAUCAUCAUCUUCAUCUGAAUCUUCACCAUCCCAGUCUUUAUCCUGGCAUUAGUGAAAAAGCACUCCAUCAGGGUGCCAAAAGUAUUGGUUGUACAAAACACUACAUUAAGUCAGUGAUUAGGCAAAUAAUAAACAUAAAUCAUAUUUUUCACAAGUACAUAUUUCCCAUUCAAAAUUAUCAAUGAAAAGUGCGGCUUUUUCAUUUAGCAAAUCACCUACAAAAAUUCAAAAAUAAAAACCUGCAGUGAGAAGAAGAGAAUAUGAGAACUUUUUCAAGUUUCCUCAACUAUUUUUCUCAUGCAGACAUUAUCUUACAUGUCACACAUUCUCUCUUCCUCUUCAUUUAUUCUCUUUGCAUUAGUUUCAAAUUCUUGUGCAUCCUAGUUCUCUGCACACUCUCUUUAUAGGCCAAUGAGAACAGAAAAAGUGCAUGCCUUGCUCCAAGUUCUCCAUAAUAACUUAUUCUCAAGUUAUCCCACAUAUAUAGUAAUACUUACCAGCUUUAAAACCUUGUGACCCUUACUUUGAAAUUCCGAAUUCUUUUUUAUUGAUAUUCCAAAUUAGUUUUUACUUUGAUGCCAAAUUUGUAAAUCCUUCAAAAAGUAGCCAUGUGCAUCAACUUGGAUUACAGCUGUUGGGUGCCCCUCCAAGCCACUAUCCACCAUCCACUCACCUUCUGCAAUCACAAACUAAAUUUCUACAACCAUUCUCAACCCAAUUCUAAGCAUUUCUCAAUUUUUAAUCAGCAUUUCAGUCAUCAUAAACCAAGCUACACAGAUUUUCAACUAGGACAUAAAAACAAAUUAAACAAAAAGGUGACCAAGUGCACAAAGCAUCCACACUUGUGGGCUAUGGAGAGGUUUUAUAUGCGUAGCCUUACCCUACUCUGCAGAAAGGCAUGAAAACAAAUUAAAGAGCACUAAAAGUUUUUAGAGGACUUCAUUGUACUAGCAUAAUAUCAACAUGACUGCAAGUGGUAAACUACUUAAUAGAUCCAUUUACAACACUGGAAACAGUACUCACAUUUGGUCUCUCCAAAGCUGUCUACACCAAAUUAUAAAACCUAAUUAGUAUCUGCUAUAAGAAAAUGCUGUGGCAAGAAUGAUAUAACUUUAGAUAGCUACGGUAAUAUUACUAAUCAUGCAACAUACAACAAAAUAUGGAAUUGAAACAUUAGUAACAGAACCAUAAACUUGACAUGGCUUGUCAAUCAGUUCCCUAGGUGAUAAAAGCAGUAAAAGAUAUAAACACAUAAAACAGCAACGAACUUGUCACAGUGCAAUGACAUUAACCUUGUUCCCUGCAUGGCCACUAG
rnacentral:misc_RNA from 1 species